UACAGAACCAACGGAUCCAAAUGUUGAUCCAAAAACAAGGAUGCAAGUUGGCUGAUUCCAGUGGAUUUACAUCAGUGUAACUCAGAAGAACACAAGUGCCUCAGCUUUUGGAUUCAAUGAUUUCCAAACUUGAAAUGUGACUGAAAAUUAUCUCCCUGAAUGAAAACCACAUCAAUCAUCACCCCUGCUGAAGGGGUCUAAUUCUUACUGUAAUAAAGACUGCUAAUGUUAGUAGAAUUUGGAUUCAUUUCUAGGUG